rnacentral:rRNA from 1 species
AGGCGCGAAACCUUUACACUGUACGCAAGUGCGAUAGGGGAAUCCCAAGUGCGAGGGCAUACUAGCCCUCGCUUUUGUGUACUGUAAGGAGGUACACGAAUAAGAGCUGGGCAAGACCGGUGCCAGCCGCCGCGGUAAUACCGGCAGCUCGAGUGAUGUCCAAUAUUAUUGGGCCUAAAGCGUCCGUAGCUGGCCAGCCAAGUUCGUCGGGAAAUCCACCUGCCCAACAGGUGGGCGUCCGGCGAAAACUGUCUGGCUUGGAACCAGAAGGCUCAGAGGGUACGUCCGGGGUAGGAGUGAAAUCCCGUAAUCCCGGACGGACCACCGAUGGCGAAAGCACUCUGAGAGGACGGAUUCGACAGUGAGGGACGAAAGCUAGGGUCUCGAACCGGAUUAGAUACCCGGGUAGUCCUAGCUGUAAACGAUGCUCGUUAGGUUUGGCACCACUACGAGUGGGUGCUGUGCCGUAGGAAGCCGCUAAACGAGCCGCCUGGGAAGUACGUCCGCAAGGAUGAAACUUAAAGGAAUUGGCGGGGGAGCACUACAACCGGAGGAGCCUGCGGUUUAAUUGGACUCAACGCCGGACAUCUCACCAGCCCCGACAUCAGUAAUGACGGUCAUGUUGACGACAUCUGCCCGAGCUGAUGAGAGGAGGUGCAUGGCCGCCGUCAGCUCGUACCGUGAGGCGUCCUGUUAAGUCAGGCAACGAGCGAGACCCACGUUCCUAAUUGCCAGCACCGGCUCCGGCCGGGUGGGUACAUUAGGAAGACUGCCAGUGCUAAACUGGAGGAAGGAAUGGGCAACGGUAGGUCAGUAUGCCCCGAAUGGGCUGGGCAACACGCGGGCUACAAUGGUCAGGACAAUGGGUUCCUACGCCGAGAGGCGACGGUAAUCUCAGAAACCUGGUCGUAGUUCGGAUUGCGGACUGAAACUCGUCCGCAUGAAGCUGGAUUCGGUAGUAAUCGCGUUUCAGAAGAGCGCGGUGAAU